rnacentral:lncRNA from 1 species
CGGCCGCCGGCUCCGGCCGAGGGCGAUGGGGCUGGGCUGAGGAGAGGCGGCGGCGGUGGCGAAAGCGGCCCCCCGGCCCCCUGCGGCCUUUUGGCUGCCCGGGCCGGGAGGCCGCGGAGAAGUCGGCCGGGCGGCGCGGCUGGUCUGACAGAAUCAUCCUGGGAUCUUGGUGUCUGGACAUAAGAGUUCUCUUCACCUGUUGAGUGAAGCACCGUACCUUUCAAGCCACUGUAAAAUAAUAGCAUUUACAUAAAGAUUUAGGCAGUGUUUAAUAUAUAUUUAAUAUUAAUUAACUGACCUUUCCCCUUUCUUCUAAGGAUGAAUUUAGAAUAUGGUUUUGUGCAAAAAUUCACUUUCUUUCUCUGGAGAAUCAACCAAAUUUGAAUGCAAAGUCUUUAGUUAAUAAGGUUUCUAAUGGCCAUGCUGUUCGUCUGACUGAAGAAAAUAGAUGUGAAAUGAAUAAAUACUCACAAAGUCAGUCACAACAGGUACUGUGAUGGAGUGUCAACGCUGUGAGAAACUGUUACUUACAUUCUACAUUAUGAAAGAUACAUUAGAAUCUUACAUUUCAGUUACUGCUUGAAAUAAAAUUACAUGCUUUAUAAAAUACCUGUCACUAAAUAAAGCCU